rnacentral:lncRNA from 1 species
AGGAUUCAAUUAUCACUUAAAAUUAGUGAUUGAUAUACACUCCAAUCAAAAAUUUAAAUUUAAGGAAAGAACUACCUAUCUAAAAUAAAAGUACAAAAUAAAGAUAUAUGUGGAUUGCCCUAAGCUUAGUAAUUAAAUCUUUGCACCUAAAUUAAGUAUGGAGGUUCAUAUCAAACAAUGAAAGAAAAGUUAGGAUGCUCAGCACUAAAAUAAAAGAAACUAAAAAAGAGAGAG